GAUGAACGCUGGCGGCGUGCCUAAUACAUGCGAGUCGAGCGAACAGAUGAGGAGCUUGCUCCUCUGACGUUAGCGGCGGACGGGUGAGUAACACGUGGAUAACCUACCUAUAAGACUGGGAUAACUUCGGGAAACCGGAGCUAAUACCGGAUAAUAUAUUGAACCGCAUGGUUCAAUAGUGAAAGACGGUUUUGCUGUCACUUAUAGAUGGAUCCGCGCCGCAUUAGCUAGUUGGUAAGGUAACGGCUUACCAAGGCAACGAUGCGUAGCCGACCUGAGAGGGUGAUCGGCCACACUGGAACUGAGACACGGUCCAGACUCCUACGGGAGGCAGCAGUAGGGAAUCUUCCGCAAUGGGCGAAAGCCUGACGGAGCAACGCCGCGUGAGUGAUGAAGGUCUUCGGAUCGUAAAACUCUGUUAUUAGGGAAGAACAAAUGUGUAAGUAACUAUGCACGUCUUGACGGUACCUAACCAGAAAGCCACGGCUAACUACGUG
rnacentral:rRNA from 1 species